AUACGGAGGAUCCGAGCGUUAUCCGGAUUUAUUGGGUUUAAAGGGUGCGCAGGCGGCCAUUUAAGUCAGCGGUUAAAUCGUGGGGCUCAACCCCAUUCCGCCGUUGAUACUGGGUGGCUUAUUGCGGUCGAGGUUGGCGGAAUUCGUUGUGUAGCGGUGAAAUGCAUAGAUAUGACGAAGAACACCGAUUGCGUAGGCAGCUGACCAGACCGCAAAUGACGCUCAUGCACGAAAGUGCGGGGAUCGAACAGGAUUAGAUACCCUGGUAGUCCGCACAGUAAACGAUGAAUACUUGUUUUCGGCGAUAUAAUGUCGGAGGCAAAGCGAAAGCGAUAAGUAUUCCACCUGGGGAGUACGCCGGCAACGGUGAAACUUAAAGGAAUUGACGGGG
rnacentral:rRNA from 1 species